rnacentral:tRNA from 1 species
GAGAUAUUAGUAUAACUAUUACAUAACUUUGUCAAAGUUAAAAUAUAAACUAACCUUUAUAUGUCUCU